rnacentral:rRNA from 1 species
UACGUAGGGGGCAAGCGUUGUUCGGAAUUACUGGGCGUAAAGGGCGCGUAGGCGGCACGGCAAGUCAGGAGUGAAAGCCCUGGGCUCAACCCGGGAACUGCUUUUGAAACUGCCGAGCUAGAGUGCGGAAGGGGCAACUGGAAUUCCCAGUGUAGAGGUGAAAUUCGUAGAUAUUAGGAAGAACACCAGUGGCGAAGGCGGCUCACUGGCCCGGUACUGACGCUGAGGCGCGAAAGCGUGGGGAGCAAACAGG